rnacentral:rRNA from 1 species
GCAAGUCGAACGGUAACAGAGGAGAGCUUGCUCUCUUGCUGACGAGUGGCGGACGGGUGAGUAACGCGUAGGAAUCUGCCUAGUAGUGGGGGACAACUCGGGGAAACUCGAGCUAAUACCGCAUACGCCCUACGGGGGAAAGCGGGGGAUCUUCGGACCUCGCGCUAUUAGAUGAGCCUGCGUUGGAUUAGCUUGUUGGUGAGGUAACGGCUCACCAAGGCGACGAUCCAUAGCUGGUCUGAGAGGAUGACC